AGCUCUCGUUGGUGACCAGCGGAGGGAUCAUUACCGAGUUUACAACUCCCAAACCCCUGUGAACAUACCACUUGUUGCCUCGGCGGAUCAGCCCGCUCCCGGUAAAACGGGACGGCCCGCCAGAGGACCCCUAAACUCUGUUUCUAUAUGUAACUUCUGAGUAAAACCAUAAAUAAAUCAAAACUUUCAACAACGGAUCUCUUGGUUCUGGCAUCGAUGAAGAACGCAGCAAAAUGCGAUAAGUAAUGUGAAUUGCAGAAUUCAGUGAAUCAUCGAAUCUUUGAACGCACAUUGCGCCCGCCAGUAUUCUGGCGGGCAUGCCUGUUCGAGCGUCAUUUCAACCCUCAAGCACAGCUUGGUGUUGGGACUCGCGUUAAUUCGCGUUCCUCAAAUUGAUUGGCGGUCACGUCGAGCUUCCAUAGCGUAGUAGUAAAACCCUCGUUACUGGUAAUCGUCGCGGCCACGCCGUUAAACCCCAACUUCUGAAUGUUGACCUCGGAUCAGGUAGGAAUACCCGCUGAACUUAAGCAUAUCA
rnacentral:rRNA from 1 species